AGGACGUGCUAACCACCCUGAAGAUCCUCAUCAUCGGCGAGAGUGGGGUGGGCAAGUCCAGCCUGCUCUUGAGGUUCACAGAUGAUACGUUUGAUCCAGAACUUGCAGCAACAAUAGGUGUUGACUUUAAGGUGAAAACAAUUUCAGUGGAUGGAAAUAAGGCUAAACUUGCAAUAUGGGAUACUGCUGGUCAAGAGAGGUUUAGAACAUUAACUCCCAGCUAUUAUAGAGGUGCACAGGGUGUUAUAUUAGUUUAUGAUGUCACAAGAAGAGAUACAUUUGUUAAACUGGAUAAUUGGUUAAAUGAAUUGGAAACAUACUGUACAAGAAAUGACAUAGUAAACAUGCUAGUUGGAAAUAAAAUCGAUAAGAGGCAAGUGCAAAAACCUGUGAUGGUGUACAAUGUGCCUUUGAAGAACUUGUUGAAAAGAUCAUUCAGACCCCUGGACUGUGGGAAAGUGAGAACCAGAAUAAAGGAGUCAAACUGUCACACAGGGAAGAAGGCCAAGGAGGAGGAGCCUGUGGUGGUUAUUGCUCUGUGUUAUAAACUCUGGGAAAUUCCAUCUCUUGCAUAUUUGAUCAGAUAGUGACAUCUUUCUGUAUAUAAACUCUUUAACUGCUAUUUUAGGGACCUUGCAGUUUGCACAUAAUUGUUUUAUAUCAUAGCAGUAAAUAUUUGCAAGAAAUCCCACUCAUCGACCCCGGGUAAAAUGUUAUGGUAAGCAUGCACAGUUUGCAGUCUACAGUUUUUUUAUGUAGCACAAAAUAGGUGUACCUUUAUAAGUACAUUCAAUUUUAUGAUUUACAUUUAUCAUGUAAUUUUUUAAAAAAUCCAUCUAUCUAGGAUAUGUUGAUACAAAGUCUGCUUUUGCUAUUCUUUUUGCUUAAAUACUCCUAUCAUUUUCUGAAUUACUUGGUAUUUAGAACUCCUAGAACCACGGGGAAGAAUAGAGGUAUCAUCAAACGUGGCAAAUUUUCUUUCAGG
rnacentral:sRNA from 1 species